GAUGAAGAACGUAGCGAAAUGCGAUAAGUAAUGCGAAUUGCAGAAUUCCGUGAGUCAUCGAAUCUUUGAACGCACAUUGCGCCCUUUGGUAUUCCGAAGGGCAUGCCUGUCCGAGCGUCAUUAUCAACUCUCAAGCCCGGCUUGCGGUUGGGUCCCGCCGUGGGCAGCCACGGUGGACCUGAAAGAUAAUGGUGGUGCCCGUGGGGCCCUGGAUGCAACGAGCUUGUUAGCACGCGUCCGCACGGCCCCCCGGCGCCGUCUCAACCAAUCUACCCUCGCGCAGAUUGACCUCGGAUCAGGUAGGGAUACCCGCUGAACUUAAGCAUAUCAAUAAGCGGAGGA
rnacentral:misc_RNA from 1 species